ensembl:lncRNA
GUUAGCUAUGUUACAUUAUUUUUAACUUACCAAACACAAUGCAGAUAAGGAGGAUGCUCUGUUGUCUAAGAGAGGAAACAAUAUGACAAACUGACAUUAAGAAGGUUCAAACUUUCAGCCUUUAAACACUAUAGGAAAUUAUUACAUACAGAGAGAAGUAGAUUACCGCUGUUCCAUAUUACCAACAUAGUUAAUUAACGUUAACGUUAGUUAAUUAUGUUUCUCAAAAGACAAACUACUUUAAAUGCUAUUGACAUCGGAUUUGUAAUUUAUCCAUAAUUCAGACAUGAAUGGAGGAGUGAAAUAUUCCCAUGGUUACCACAUGCUAACUUCUACGUAAUGCUAAAAAUAGGCUGACGUGGCAAUUUCAUCAGUUGGCUGACUAAUUUGGCAGCGAGCAAAGUAACGCUAACCAGCUAACUAGUAGCUAACGCCAACAAACUAGUCAACACAAACUGACAAAACCCUUGAAAUUUUAACCAAUUUGUCAAUGAACAUACUUUAGGUCAGCAUUAUCUUGUGUUAUAAUGCUGUAGAUGAAAUGCAGCGCUCUGAUUGGUUGACAGUGAGUCACGUGGUGCACAUCAUUGAGUGAUGUACAGUUCUUGUUCCAUAUCACUGCGCACUAAGAGUAACGGUUUGACCGACCGUUAGUAUCAGCAAUGAGGUACUCGAGGCAGUACUUUAUGUACAGCCUCUUGUACCUUAUUGCUUAAUAAACGUCACGAAUGAAUUUGAAUCGCCUCCUUCCUUAUAAUGAACUAUGACACUAAUAGACGAAAUAUUUCCCUCAUACGGCACACAAAUGAACCCGUGACUUAACGUUAAACUACGAUAACAUAAAGGCUAACGCAGACUGUAUCCAUAUUAACUGAAAAGUUAGUUAGCUAACCAAGUUAGUUACCAAACUGACCAGUUCAUGCCAGUUCAGCACAUAACUUAAUACCGUUACAUAUUUGUCAUACUAAUGUGCUGCCAGCUUAGCGGCUAUGCUAUUGUUAGCCACGUUUUGCCGUUGUCAUACACAGGGAAUAUUUCACUCUUUCUUUAGUGUACACAUACUGCACGGGUUACAAACGGACGACAACGCCGUUUCACAACUAUAUAACUGUCAUUACACCAUCCAGAAUAUUAAAUCUAUAGUUGUCCUUUAAGAGCACUCGUAUCAUCAGCGAGAUACUAUAGUAUAAGCUGAUAAAUUGACAACAAGAUAUGGUCAAUACACGUGGUUAAUUUUUUGAAAUGUGAAAAGUUGAUUAAGUAAUGUUUUCCUAAGGCAUGAUAUGAAUUCACUAAUGAUUUUUUAGUACAUUAUAUGAGACUAAUUCGUGACACUAUUACCUUGUUAAAUCUAGUUUUGGAAAUAGCAACAUUAAGCUCCUACGCGGUGUAUCAGGCAAACACUUACGUCAGCAGCCAUUAUAUCCGACAUCAUCGGAGCGCUUUUGAACUCAUCACUGUCAAAAUCACUGUCAAAAAAACAUAUAAAAAAUUUGCGGCCAAAAGUCCGUCUCGCGCAAGCAAAAGUUGGUGAUUUGCCUCAGUCUUGUGAAAGCUGACAGAGAGGUAAGUUUGUUCCUCUCUAAAUGAGAUAAGAAAAUGAAGAAUAUGAAGAAUAACUGACAUGAAUUGAGUAUUUAUAUUGUAUAACCCUAUAAGUAUAACCAUUUUUAAUAAAAGAAACAAUUAAGUGACUAGAGUUGUUUAAAAUGUUUAAGCUAGCGGUUAGAUAGAGUAUCUUGGUUAGCAAAAGGGAUUUCCAAAUAGUGGUCAUCAAUUUUUGAAUGCAGUUUAGCGUUUUAGGCAAACGUAAUGCUCUCUUUAAUACAAGAUAUUAACCUAAUACGUUUGUGAUAACGAUAUACUAAUGAAGCAACACAAUAUGAAAUAAAAGAAACGUUUUAGAAAAUAAUGUGUACUAACCUACUACAUAGCUUUUUCUUAAUGCUUUGUGUUUAUUUUAAUAUUUCAGAAUGGCCUUAAAGACGCUUUUGACGACGAAGCCUCCAACACCCUAUUUUCGCCCCCCGCCAAUCCACCUAUGUGUGGUGUUGGUGGUGGAGAAGCCCAGGGUGGUGGCCUGGGAGUUUGACUCAAAUGGUGCGAGACCAGCACAGACAAAAAUGAAUAUUCUGGCCGCACUAACCGAUGGAGAUUCAGUGGCCAAAGUCACUGUAUUCGAGGAGUUUGGCAAAAGACUUAAGGAGGGUGGGAGUUAUAAUGUAAAGAGGGCAGUCCCCCCCAUAUCAAUUAAAUAUAACUAAGGACACGCUGUUCUUUAGGAGCGCUCCUAUAGCGCUCAGCGCAGCGCUCAAACGGGAAGCAGAGCUUCUAAUACACCCCCCCUCUCCACUGACUCCGCUGAGCACCUGCCGGGAAGCCAGGGGCCUGAUAACCGUGGAGGGCGAGGUGGUCGAGCUGUCAGCUUUAAAAGAAAUCACGACAGGGAGAGACGUCGUUCCAUUGCGCAACGUCACGAUGCAGCAGGGGGAAUCACAGAUGUCGCUGUGUUUCUGGAGGGAGGCGGCCGUAUGGCAGCUGCAGGUGGGGCCCACAUUAAAGUUUCCCAUCUUAAAGCUGAGAGUUUAAACUAUGGGCUCAGACUCCAGUCCACAAACUUUUCCACCAUCGAGGAGGUACGCUCAGAGGACAUCGUGGGGGCACUCGGGGUGAUAGAGAUUGAGGGAGAUCCGGGGAACCUCAACCUUCUCCUAGAAGACGGCCGUACCGUCUUAAUUGAGGAGAGAUUGUGGGAGCCAAUCGAACUUGUUAUGAUCGAACCCGUAAUAAAAGUUCAAAUAAAAAUGACAGGAAACAAGGUGCAGGCGAUGGAAGUGGCGAAAAAUUUAAAUUUCUACUGUUAUAAAAUGUAUAUGUUUAUAAGAUUGUGUUCAUAAUGUAUCAGUUAUGUGUUCAUUUUGUUUUGACUUGUUACUUAUGUUCAAUUGUUUUUUACGCUUGUUUAUAAUAAUAAUAAUAAUAAUUUGUUGCAAUAAAUAUUCAACCGUAGCCGUAGUUGUCCGUCACUGUUCAUUUUGAAUGCUGCAUGUGACUUAUUUUCAGUAGAGGUUUCUUAUCCCUUUAGCAAUGAUGGCUGGUGGAACACU